rnacentral:rRNA from 1 species
UACUUUCUUUGCCUGUUUAUCAAAAACAUGUUUGUUUGUAGAUAUAAGGAAUUUAACCUGCCCACUGAUAAGUUAAAGGGCCGCAGUAUUAUAACUGUGCAAAGGUAGCAUAAUCAUUAGGUUUUUAAUUGGGAUCUUGUAUGAAUGGUUGGACAAAAGAAAAGCUCUCUUUAUAUUAAGUUUGAAUUUAACUUUUAAGUGAAAAGGCUUAAAUAUUCUAAAGGGACGAUAAGACCCUGUAAAACUUUACAUUAUGGUUAGAAUUUAGUUGAAUUUGAAAGAAUAAGAACUUAAUUGGAUUAUUUGUUAUGUUGGGGCGACAUAGGUAAAAUUUAUUUUAACUGCUUUUAUAAUUAAAACAAUUAUAUAUGAAGAUAGUUGAUCCUUUGUAGAGAUUAAUAGUUUAAGUUACUUUAGGGAUAACAGCGUAAUUUUUUUUAAGAGUUCUUAUCGAAAAAGAAGAUUGCGACCUCGAUGUUGAAUUAAAAAAUCUAUAUAAUGGAGAGGUUAUAUAAGAAGGUCUGUUCGACCUUUAAAUUUUUACAUGAUUUGAGUUCAAACCGGCGUGAGCCAGGUUGGUUUCUAUCUUUUAGAUAUAAGGUGGUUAUUUUAGUACGAAAGGAGUAAAUAGCUAAAAUAAUUUUA